rnacentral:rRNA from 1 species
AACGAACGCUGGCGGCAGGCUUAACACAUGCAAGUCGAACGAGAUCUUCGGAUUUAGUGGCAGACGGGUGAGGAACACGUGGGAACAUCCCUUUCAGUUCGGAAUAACGUUGGGAAACUAACGCUAAUACCGGAUACGUCCUUCGGGAGAGAGAUUUAUCGCUGAAAGAUUGGCCCGCGUCUGAUUAGCUAGUUGGUGAGGUAAUGGCUCACCAAGGCUACGAUCAGUAGCUGAUCUGAGAGGAUGAUCAGCCACAUCGGGACUGAGACACGGCCCAAACUCCUACGGGAGGCAGCAGUGGGGAAUAUUGGACAAUGGGCGCAAGCCUGAUCCAGCCAUGCCGCGUGAGUGAUGACGGCCUUCGGGUUGUAAAGCUCUUUUGUCCGGGAAGGUAAUGACUGUACCGGAAGAAUAAGCCCCGGCAAACUUCGUGCCAGCCGCCGCGGUAA